rnacentral:rRNA from 1 species
CCUACGGGAGGCAGCAGUGAGGAAUAUUGGUCAAUGGCCGGAAGGCUGAACCAGCCAUGCCGCGUGAAGGUCAGUGCCCUAUGGGCGUUAAACUUCUUUUGUGCGGGAGCAAUAAUGGUCACGUGUGGCCAGACGAGAGUACCGUACGAAUAAGCAUCGGCUAACUCCGUGCCAGCAGCCGCGGUAAUACGGGGGAUGCAAGCGUUAUCCGGAUUUAUUGGGUUUAAAGGGUGCGUAGGCUGGGAGGUAAGUCAGCGGUGAAAUGCCCCCGCUCAACGGGGUGAAGUGCCAUUGAUACUGCCUUGCUGGAGUGCGGAUGCCGUGGGAGGAAGGUGUGGUGUAGCGGUGAAAUGCAUAGAUAUCACACAGAACACCGAUUGCGAAGGCAGCUCACGAAUCCGCGAUUGACGCUGAUGCACGAAAGCGUGGGUAUCAAACAGGAUUAGAUACCCGGGUAGUC